AGAGUUUGAUCCUGGCUCAGAACGUACGCUGGCGGCACGCCUAACACAUGCAAGUCGAACGAAGUAGCAAUACUUAGUGGCAGACGGGUGAGUAACAUGUAGGUAUCUGCCCUUUGGCCUGGAAUAACACGAGGAAACUUGUGCUAAUACCGGAUAAGUCUUUACGGAGAAAGCUUUAUGCACCAUUGGAUGAGCCUGCACUUGAUUAGUUUGUUGGUGGGGUAAUGGCCUACCAAGACUGUGAUCAAUAGCUGAUUUGAGAGGAUGAUCAGCCACAUUGGGACUGAGACACGGCCCAAACUCCUACGGGAGGCAGCAGUGGGGAAUCUUGCACAAUGGAGGAAACUCUGAUGCAGCGAUGCCGCGUGAGUGAAAAAGGCCCUUGGGUUGUAAAGCUCUUUCGUCGGGGAAGAAAAUGACUGUACCCGAAUAAGAAGGUCCGGCUAACUUCGUGCCAGCAGCCGCGGUAAUACGAAGGGACCUAGCGUAGUUCGGAAUUACUGGGCUUAAAGAGUUCGUAGGUGGUUAAAAAAGUUGGUGGUGAAAUCCCAGAGCUUAACUCUGGAACUGCCAUCAAAACUUUUUAGCUAGAGUAUGAUAGAGGAAAGCAGAAUUUCUAGUGUAGAGGUGAAAUUCGUAGAUAUUAGAAAGAAUACCAAUUGCGAAGGCAGCUUUCUGGAUCAUUACUGACACUGAGGAACGAAAGCAUGGGUAGCGAAGAGGAUUAGAUACCCUCGUAGUCCAUGCCGUAAACGAUGUGUGUUAGACGUUGGAAAUUUAUUUUCAGUGUCGCAGCGAAAGCGAUAAACACACCGCCUGGGGAGUACGACCGCAAGGUUAAAACUCAAAUGAAUUGACGGGGACCCGCACAAGUAGUGGAGCAUGUGGUUUAAUUCGAAGAUACGCGCAGAACCUUACCAACACUUGACAUGUUCGUCGCGACUUUAAGAGAUUAAAGUUUUCGGUUCGGCCGGACGAAACACAGGUGCUGCAUGGCUGUCGUCAGCUCGUGUCGUGAGAUGUUGGGUUAAGUCCCGCAACGAGCGCAACCCUCACUUUUAGUUGCCAUCAUUUAGUUGGGCACUCUGAAAGAACUGCCAGUGAUAAGCUGGAGGAAGGUGGGGAUGACGUCAAGUCCUCAUGGCCCUUACGUGUUGGGCUACACACGUGCUACAAUGGUAUCUACAACAGGAAGCAAGACUGCGAAGUUAAGCAAAUCCUUAAAAGAUGCCUCAGUUCGGAUUGCACUCUGCAACUCGAGUGCAUGAAGCUGGAAUUACUAGUAAUCGCGGAUCAGCGCGCCGCGGUGAAUACGUUCCCGGGUCUUGUACACACCGCCCGUCACACCAUGGGAGUUGGUUCUACCUUAAGGCAAAGCUUAAAAACUUUGACCACGGUAUAGUCAGCGACUGGGGUGAAGUCGUAACAAGGUAACC
rnacentral:rRNA from 1 species